rnacentral:rRNA from 1 species
UGGGGAAUCUUGCACAAUGGGGGAAACCCUGAUGCAGCGACGCCGCGUGAACGAUGAAGCCCUUCGGGGUGUAAAGUUCUUUCGACAGGAACGAUAAUGACGGUACCUGGAGAAGAAGCUGCGGCUAACUACGUGCCAGCAGCCGCGGUAAUACGUAGGCAGCGAGCGUUGUUCGGAGUUACUGGGCGUAAAGAGUGCGUAGGCGGCGAGCCAAGUUUGGUGUGAAAUCUCCCGGCUUAACCGGGAGGGUGCGCCGAAAACUGGUUGGCUGGAGUAUGGGAGAGGAAAGCGGAACUCCUGGUGUAGCGGUGAAAUGCGUAGAUAUCAGGAGGAACACCUGCGGUGUAGACAGCUUUCUGGACCAAAACUGACGCUGAGGCACGAAAGCGUGGGUAGCAAAC